rnacentral:rRNA from 1 species
GGGAAUUCGAUUAGAGUUUGAUCCUGGCUCAGAUUGAACGCUGGCGGCAGGCUUAACACAUGCAAGUCGAGCGGUAGCACAGGGGAGCUUGCUCCCUGGGUGACGAGCGGCGGACGGGUGAGUAAUGUCUGGGAAACUGCCUGAUGGAGGGGGAUAACUACUGGAAACGGUAGCUAAUACCGCAUAACGUCGCAAGACCAAAGAGGGGGACCUUCGGGCCUCUUGCCAUCAGAUGUGCCCAGAUGGGAUUAGCUAGUAGGUGGGGUAAUGGCUCACCUAGGCGACGAUCCCUAGCUGGUCUGAGAGGAUGACCAGCCACACUGGAACUGAGACACGGUCCAGACUCCUACGGGAGGCAGCAGUGGGGAAUAUUGCACAAUGGGCGCAAGCCUGAUGCAGCCAUGCCGCGUGUGUGAAGAAGGUCUUCGGGUUGUAAAGCACUUUCAGCGAGGAGGAAGGUGGUGAGCUUAAUACGCUCAUCAAUUGACGUUACUCGCAGAAGAAGCACCGGCUAACUCCGUGCCAGCAGCCGCGGUAAUACGGAGGGUGCAAGCGUUAAUCGGAAUUACUGGGCGUAAAGCGCACGCAGGCGGUUUGUUAAGUCAGAUGUGAAAUCCCCGGGCUCAACCUGGGAACUGCAUUUGAAACUGGCAAGCUAGAGUCUCGUAGAGGGGGGUAGAAUUCCAGGUGUAGCGGUGAAAUGCGUAGAGAUCUGGAGGAAUACCGGUGGCGAAGGCGGCCCCCUGGACAAAAACUGACCCUCAAGUGCGAAAACGUGGGGAACAACAAGGAUUAGAUCCCUGGUAAUCCACGCUGUA